UUUGUCUACACAGACUUUCAAGUUGUUGACAUAGGAGAAGACGAGUACGAUCCACCCAUCAUCCUUGGAAGACCGUUCCUCAGCACCGUUAAAGCAAUUAUCUACAUUGGAACCGGAGAAGUCCAUAUGCACUUCCCCUCAGAGAAGGUACGCCGUUAUUUUACUGACCCUAACUAUAUUGUUGAAGAAUCUAAGCAGGUAAGGAAACGACGUAACCGCAACCAGAGGAGGCAGAUCAUCAAGGAUGGAUGGGCAGACUAUGAAGGAGAAGUUGUAAGAUCAGAAGACAUAGAGUUUAAACAGAAUUAUCCAGAGGAGAUUGAAGCACCGAGUCAGGUGUGGAAAAUGAAGAUAACUAUACAUGAAGAGGAGGCGCUGCCGGAAGUACCGACUACGCCACCCAACGAACCUCAGAACGAUUAAGAAAUUGGAGAGUCCCGUUCGGAGGACUUAAAAACACCGAACGCCUUGCCAAGAGGUAAACUUGGAAGUUAUCCUUUCCCUUUUAAUCAUUUCAAUUAUUUCAAAUAGUUUACUUAGUAAAUUAUGUUCGUGCUAUCCUAAAAAGAAAAUAAAAAUGUGAAAAACAGUAAGCCCCAUGUGAGUAGACGAGUGGCAUAAAACCCAUAAGUACAUUCACUGUGGUGGCAUAAAAAUAAAAUAAUUAUUUUUCUGCUUUAUAAAAUAAAAAUAUAAAAACAGGGAGUAAUAAUUAUUAAGGAGUCUCAAGAUAAUAAAGGCUAGAUAUUUAUGCUAACACUUAAUCAGUUCCACAAGCUUUGUUGUCUAUUUGAGCUCCACAGAAUUUAAGAAUCAAGAAGACUAGCAGACGGAGAACAUUCUAAUCGCUGUCAGAAUGCUGCUGACUUUCAAAUACACCUCUGCCGCCUGUUAGCUACAUCAAGAGAAAUUACGUCAAAAUUCAGCUUGGGGGAGAGCACCCCCAUUUAUCUCGAUAAGUAUUUCUUUCUAUCUUUCUAUCUAUUUAUAUAUGUCUUUUGCUUAGUGUGUUUAAUAAAUAAAUAAAGUGGCUAUGCUAAUCUAUAUCUAAAUAAAACUUAAGCAUGGAUAUGAUAAAUAGUUGCUCUGCCUAAUUUGCAAAUUUCAAGUUCUCUCUCAAGUUUAGAUAUAACUGUUAUAAUUUAAAGCUUGCUCUAGACCUAAACUUGUGGGAUGAAAACUUGAUUUGAAGUCUAAGUUGUUAAUGGAUACGAUAUGGGAAGGUUGAGCUGCUGUUUAUCUGUUCCUAGAGAUGCUAGAAUUCUGGAGAAUUUUAUCUUUGAAAAUCUUUAAAAUGUUGCAUGAUGAGUUCCUGUAUGAUGAGAGUUUAAAUUCCUACCACAGCCAUAUAUACAUGCUUGCUAGACUUUGAGCCACACAUUUACUAUUUACUUUUUAUGAGCAUUGAGUGUGGUCAAGCUGUGUAGACCCUUAGGAGCUUGUCAUGUGGUUAAAUCAAGAUUUCACUUGCACGUUCACUCAUAUAUGCUACUUCUACUCCGGAAGUACCAUCCACAUAUAUCCACCCAUUCCAUCUCUAGAACCAACCAAAAAUAUUCUACUCCUAAUCCGGGAGAGAGUAACCAAAAAUAUUUCUGUUUUCCCCUUGUGAAAUAAAUGCUCAAGUUAUCUUGUUACUACCACUUGCUAUAUUAUCUCAAGAGAUGAAUGCUCUAAAAAAAAGAUACGAGGAAAUAAAAAGGAACAAGUGCUCGGAACCUCAAAAGAAAAGAAAAAGUGAGACGAGAGGUAAAAAUGGACAAGUGUCCGACAGUAGAAUUAGGGGUGCAAGAUACCCACCUGAGAGAAAAGAAAAAUAUAGAGCAUCUCAUUCUCCUCAUAAAGUUUUAAAAAGCAAGGAAGGUAUGUAUCCCCUCAAAGAGCAAAGUAGAAUUAGACUUCCACCACCAUUGUUUUCACCAUUGUUAUCACCAUCAUCACCAUACACCAUUCAUUCGCCACACAUGCACAUCUUGAUUUGGCUUAUUGACUUGUUACUUUGGAUCCAUGGUUUGACUAUGCAAUAAAUGUCUUAUAAGUAUGUAUACUUUAUCUCCCACCUAUGAGCUCCAGAUAUUAAAGCCUUAUUAGAGUAGGAUGAGAGAGAAGGCAAUGUCACUAUGCCUCAUACCACAAAUACCACAUAUCUUGAGAGAAGGCAUAUACCAUCACUGCCUUGGUAAGGAUCCAAAAAUACCACAAAAGAGAGACCUGAGAGAAUCAUACAAGGAAUCUCUGAGUUUUAUUUGAAAAUCUGCAAAAAACCCCAGAGCUAUAGCUGAUCAAGAAUAAGAGACAUGGCACUUGGCUAGACUGUUCUAUCUUUUAACUACUCAAGACAAAAGUGACGGUUACAAGUCCCAUGGUGAAGGUAAAGUAAGUAAGUUUUAAGUCUUGACAGUUUACUCUAACUCAGAGAUGAGAUCUUAUUUAAAAAGCAUGUGUACCGUCAAUUUUUAAAAUAUUGCAACAACUUAUGAUCCAUAGCUGAGUCUAUCCUUGCUCAGGGACGAGCAAGAGGUAAGCUUGGGGGAGUUUGUUGACGGUCCUUAAGUAUCAAAUUUAAUUAUCAAAUAAAUAAAGAAAAGGAUUUAAAUGAAAUCAAGAUCUAGACUUAGGGUUUUAUCUGAUAGAAUUCCACGAGUUUUGGUGUUUGUUUAUUUCUGCAGAGGGAUAUCAGGAAAUAUGGAAGAAAGGCCCACAUGUCAGGAUUACGUAAAGAUAUUAACGUGCUGCGCAAUUAUCUUACAUCUAGAAGACUCCAGAAGCCACGAGACCGAAGCGGAGGCAAAACGGGGCCAGAGACAGGGCGCCCGCCCUGUCCUACUGGGCGCCCGCCCUACCCCGAGUCCAAUCAGGACUCUGCUUUGCGGGAGAUCUCCACCCACCUAAAGGAUGAAUCUAAACCAUACAAUCUAUGUCGGUUUGAUCCAAGGGCCCAUAUUCACUUGAAGGGACUAUAAAACCAUACCCCCUAGCCCCUGGAGGAGAGAGCCUCUCAACCCUAAUUCAUUGUUCCAUCAAGGGAGAAGAAGCCUCUGAUCAAGAUUAGAGCCACCACAUCAAUUAGACAUCUAGAUUAGCAUAGCUACAUAGGAUUAGAACUAGAAGGAGUCAAUCUUUGAUUGGUUUCCGGAUCUGUCAGGAGGAUUCUUGGUAAUUCUCUAAUUGUGCUUCUAAUUGCUUUCUAAUUAUCUUUGUUCUUCAAUAUUAUGAAUAUGACUUUGUUCUACUUCAAUAUAUUGCUUAUGACUUUGCUCUACUUGCUUAUAUUCAAGAUUAUAUUGUUCUUAGUUUAUCAUAGUUAUGUACUUGGCUUAGUUAGAUUCGAUCUAUAUACAUGCUUAGGAUCGUAUAGCGUUUAUCCAUCGGAUCCAUGGGUAAAUGAUAGAUAUUGUGUAGGCGUAGUGCUUAUACCGUAUUUAUCUGCGAUUGUACCCAAUAUGCCAGAUCGUGGGGUGGUUCGUGAUAGUGACAGCUUCAUUGAUUCUUAUAUAGUCCCCCUCUCGUGUAUUGGGCUGGCAGAGCAACAUUAUUACAGGGGAGUGAUUGCUAUGUUUCUCAUAUUCCUUGCUAAUAUCACUAUGCAUGGGCGUAGUCUGGUCUCGCAAUGAUUGCUAAGUAUGCUUGCACUAAUUAUGAUAAUGCUAGACUAUAUAGUUAAGAAUAACUUAGGGAAUAUUCUUGUAGUUCGUUCUAAUACCAUGCUAAUGACUUUUUAGAGUAUCUAAUUGAGGUGCUUAUCAUAUUUAUUAUGUGGCUAGAUCAGAUUAGUUAUCCUUGUCACUAUUAUUAUUUCAUAUAUCUUUUAUGUGACACUUAUCCCUGUAUGAAGAGUUAGAUAUAAUGUUCUCAAUUAUACAUACUAUGAUAGAUGCUCAAUUUCAUAUUCUAUUCUGUAAUCAAUAUUGAUGAUUUCUAAUCCCUUCCCAGUGGUAAAAAUAUAAAUAACGAUACCUGGAAUACUUCCCGGUUAAAAUGCUGCAUCGGUAUUAAUCUGUGCGCUUGCAGAUCCCAUACAUUAUUUAUUUAGAAGAGCAAUUGCAUAUUUCAAUACCGCGUCUCUCAUGUCAUGCUGGGGAUGACAACUUGGCUUAAGUGGUGUGAGGGAUAGGUUUGGCAUUUUUGGCACCGUUGCUAGAUUUAGAACUUAGUAUACUUUUGGUAAUGAUGUUAAGAAUACCCAACAAUAACCUCCCGGGUGAAGUGCUCACCGAUAUCCAUGCGCUUGCGGAUCAAUUCCUUAUUGCGUUCCCAAAUAUCAACAACGUCCAAUCAUGCCCAAUGGGACUCUCUGUGGUUUUAUCUCCACAAUGAUGACAAUCUCUUCCCCACCUACACCGGGUGGCUGAUCACGGAGCACUCGGACAACUAGAACUACGGCAUCGUCAAGACUCUCCAGGCCCGGCUUUGCCCCCUUCUCGACGCUCUGAGGCGUCUGCACGAGGAAGGCUUGACUGCUGCCCUCGUCCUCUCGGUGGUCCACCAUCAACGGGUACUGUCGUUGAUGUCUCGAUCGUUGAGGAUGGACGAGAUGGGUCCCCGUGUUCCGAUAUGGGACCUUGAGGCGUGCCGGAUGUCGAAUGAGAUGCUUCCGGACGAAGAGGUGACCGCCAGGGUUAGGGCGACUGUCGCGGGUGACUUCCAGCCGGAGCAUGUGAAUGGCUUCCCCAUGAAGCCUAAAAAAGGUUAUUAUGACCUGGUAAGCCCCUCGAGUCACUGCUGUUUGUCUCCUAUUUUCGGCUACGAUUUUCCUGAGAUUUGUGUUUUUUUGCUAGGGGGCAAUUGACGCCCGGUCCUCGAGGCCUCCGAUGAAGGGAGAAGACGUUGAGUGUGAGAAAAGAUGCGCCUCUACUGAGAAGCACAAAUCUUUGCAAGAUGCAGACAAGAAGAAAGAGAAGAGGAAGAACCUAGAGCGACAAGCACUCGAGAGCAUCGAGCUAAGGCGAGGCGUGAGGGGGAGCCUAAGGAGGACUCAACUGAUGAGGAUGACGAUGAUGAUGAUGACGACAACGCCGGCGACUCCGAGGGGAUGGCAGCUCUCCUCGAUCAGGCCCUGCAAGGCCUACCGCAGACAGUCUUCUCUUCGUCGCGUGCGAGGGCCUCGAAAGGGCCGCAAGGUGGAGACUAUGACGGGUGCCAAAAGGAGGCGUCUCCUGACCGCCCGCGCCGAUACGCCCCCUGCCUCCACCCAGGGUCAGGUUGCCCUUCUACCGUGACCUCCCCAAGCUUCUGGUCCUAGCCAUCGAGUCAAGUCCUCUAGAAACGGGGCUGCUGACUCAAGGCCGUGCUGCCGCAGUGGCGUCAAGCUAGGGAGGAGGUCAUCAGAGAAGCACAAGCCCCAAGGAUCGUCCAGGGGGAGAACGGAGCCAAGGCCCGCUCCUGUCUUGGAACGGCCAAGGGCCCGGAUGCACGCAGGCUCGAAGCCUGCUGGUCGUGGGACUAGUAGGAGGGUAGUCCUCCCUGUGGGGUAAGAUUUUUUAAACAUUCAUGCUAUCUUUGUUGGUUAAUUUGUUUGUUGACGCUAAUUAGCCUGCGUUGAUUUCUCUCCUGUUCAGGUUGAAGAGGCAGCUGGAGCAGGCCCAACUCUCGACAGCUAGGAGGCUCAAGGUUGGGGCGAGCUCCAAGGCGCCGGGUAAGUGACUGGCUUCUCUUUUGUGGUUUAGGGUUGUUUUUUCUUAGCGCAGAGAUUCCUCAUGACUGAUGUGUGGUUUGGGGCGUAUGCAGGCUCUUCUGGCUCAUGACCGUUCGCUGGUGGCGACGAGACCCUGCCUCGAUCAUCGGAGGGGGGUGAUGCUUCAAAAAGCAUCUCACCGCCCCCCGGUUAGGGCAAAAUGCUUCGCCCCCAAGGUUAGGAGGGAGCCCCAGAGUCUCCCAAGCUAGGGGAAGAGGGCGACCUAAUCACUAUUAGUGAUGAAUCCGGGUAAGGCUCGUGUUCGAUGGGCGACUGCAUUGCUGACAAGGGCGUCAAGACCCCUCAAGUCGAGGGGCGGACGCCGUGGCCCACUGGGCUUCGUGUUGUUGAGGAGGAGAAUAAGAAGAAGGAUGAGGAGGAACAGAGGAGGAAGAAAGAGGAAGAGGAGGGACGUCGUCUGCUGGAGCAGCAAUGGCAACAAGAGUUGCAAGAGCAGCAGUGGCAACAAUAACAGCUAGAGGAAUAGCUGGAGCAGCACCGGCUGCAAGAGUUGCAGGAGUUGCAACGACAGCAUCGGCAGUAGUAGUUAGAGGAGCAGCUCGAGCAACAACCACUGUAGGAGCUGCAUGAGCAGCAGUCGCAGCAGCAGCAGCUCAAGAAGGGCAGAGGCUCGAGAUGGGGGAGGAGGAGCUACCCGUUUACGGCCCCGCGACUCCCCAUGGCUUCGUCCUAGGGGGCCCGCUACCAUCCCAGCCGAGCCACGGCAGGAGGACGGUGUCGUAGCGCUGGCGCUUGCCAUGCGCACGCCCGUGGAACUGAGUUCAGAGAUUAAGGGGACCCUCUAUGGCAUUGAGGGGAUUGCCCCGGGCUAUCUAGAGGGUCGGCGGCCAUGGGAGGACAUGGCCGAAACUUCUGGCGAUGGUGUGGAAGAUGAGGCCGGGACCUCUAGUGGCGGCAAGGUGGACGAGACCGGGACCUGGGGCUCUGUUGAUGACGAUGGGUGAUUGCCCUCCCUAAUUGACCUAUUUCUACGCCAUGGGGGCUCGCUCGAGAUGGUGCAGGAGCUCAUCCGGGGCGUCAAGAAGUGCACGAACGAAGAGCUCGAGCACUAGGGUCCAGGGAGGAUCCGCCUUCGAUGCUCUACGUAUCCAGAUGAGCCCAACAUCAUGAUGCACGAUCAGAAAGAGGCCCAAAACUGGGAGCAUCUCAAAGAGCUUCACCUUUGGAUGAAGCACGUCAUGGGUAUCAUUUCCGACAUCAUCAACAACGGCCUGGGCUAGGCCUUCUUUGUAAGGAGAUCUCAACUUUCAUUAUUUUGGAUCUUACGCCUUGCUGGUGUGCUUACAGCCUUGCGUUCUUUUGCAGGAUCUGAAAGAGACCUCUCGGCUAAAAUCAGGCUUCAUUCAUGCGACAAGGGGUGGCUGGGAGCAGAUUCCUCUUCUCAAGGAUCAGCUCCUCGAGUUGCAAGAAAAGCUUCUUAAGGCGCUUAAGGAGCUUACUGCAUCCGAGAAGGAGAAACAGAAGAAGGAGGCCGCUCUGACCGACGCUUGGAAGACCUUGUCUAGUAUGAACAGUGUAACAGAACCGUCCAAAUUAUAAGAGAUUAAGCCUAUUAGUGACCAUUUGCAUAGUCAAACCAUCGAGCUUAAGCCCAUAUAAUCCUGGUAGUCCAUGAAAUCUCGAAGGAUUUCAAACCACAUUUCGUACAUACAGCCAAGAUCGUAAUAAGUUUAGCGGUCACCAUCCACAAUUACAUCCAGUUCGAAAACAACCAUCAAAUGGAUCGGAGUGCUUAAAGUUAUUACAAACCAAGUUCUCAAUUAGCGGAAGCUUCAUAAUUCAAAAAUAACACACACAAACUUAGUCUGAUACAGUGCCAUAGUUUUGGUCAUUCCCACAAAAGCAAAAGCGAAGACGGAGUGACCAUCGCCCUUGGUCUAGUCAUCGCCCAUAGCUGGGUACAAGCAGAGGAUGCAAUAACCAUAGUACAUUUGACCACCUGCAAAACAACGUGGGAAUAGAACCCUGAGUAUGAGAAUGUACUCAGCUAGACUUACCCAUCAUAAACUCAAAAAUAAAGACUCUUCAAGGAUCAUGAAGGCUAUAUAGUGGGGGUAGCUGACGACCUUUUUGCAUAAAAGCACCAUUUCCCUAAACAUAGUCUAGAAACCAUUCUUCUUUUAAUUAGCUCAAGUUUAGUAAUGUCAUUACCUAUUAUCUAUGUUUGCACCUGUACUAUUACAAGCAAGUGUAGUAACAUGAUGGUACCUCAUCAUAGCAUUCAUGCAACCAUUUAUCAUUAUAACCCAAGUGUUCCAUAGUCCUUACUACGAGGACAGGACUCAUGUCAAGUGCUCACUAUCCAGGAGCGAUGGCGAUUCGAAUCGAUUUCUAACCAGCUGGCGAGUUAUUCCCCACACAAACCACCCUCACUGAUCAAGUGAGCUACAGAUCACCGUGUUGCACUAUCCAGGACCAAUUCGUGGGUUCGACAGGCACCGCCCGUACCCGAGGACCGUUCCGGCGACCGAGGUAUCCAAGGUAUACCAAGGUUGCGCGCCGCGCCCUCGUCGUUCUCCUCAACCAUCACCAAUACAGCGCGUACAUCGGGCCGAUUCUCGGCCCGGAUAGUGCUCAGGCUUCGCAGUCGGAACGACUUAUCCUUCCAGAUAAGUGUGGGGCAUGCGUGCAACAUGACAAGAGGGCCGUCAACGAUCGGUCCUUAAUCGACACAAGCAGGGGCACUAUAGUGAACCCACCAUAAGACCCUACCCGGUCUCAAAUUCCAUUCCACACUUGGUUAUUCUUUACCCAAGCAAUUACUGCUUAAUCAAGCAGGUAUCCACCUAUAUCUCGCAGGUGACGGGAAAUCACCCGACUUCUACCGGACUAAACAGGAUAAGCAUCGACUCCGCGCCUAUCUACAUAGGACAAGGUAGAUCAACGAAUGGAGAUAACAAGGAGUACAUAUGCAUCGACGGUAUCAAGCAAUUCCUACCACUUAAAUGCAACAUAGUAGGACAAGCAUAAUAUAUUAUUUAAGUUAGCGAGAAUAGGGAGGCUUAGAAUGCUCCGGGGCUUGCCUUUCUCGAACGUGCUCGCCUUAUGAUCCGGGCACUCCUGCAGCUCCUCUCCGGGUUCUGACUCUCCCAGAGGUUCCUGCUCCUGUGCUUCCUCCUGCUCCUCGGGUCCCACCUCGUUCUCCUGCGAGCCUGUAUGAUGCAUGUGUGCCCAUGAGUGGAGUGCGAGAUGCCCGAGGUGCAAUGCUCAUACGAGAGAAAACCAGAUGACUAUGACAUGGUGCAUAGAUGGUUUAGAUUGUCAUCUACAAGGUAGUCAACAUCAUCCAAGAGCAUGUAAACACAUUAAGCAACCAAUUCCUUCCUUUCUACAAAUUAUGCUCAAGUGUAACCAGCAAACUCACAAUAUGCUUCAAAGAUACACCAAGCCCCUUUUAUUCUAUUUAACCCAUAUAUAACAAUUCAUAGUUUCUUUAUUCACUUUGAGACCCCUCAAAAAAAGCAUGCUUUUCUGUUUAUCAAUAAAUUCCACAAAAAUUACAGGAGACUACCAGUCAAACAUAAAGUCCACCAUAAAUUUUUCAUAAUUUUUGGACACUUAUUUUGAGCUACAAAAAUCACAAGAUUAAUUCCUAAAGGUAAAUACAAAUACUCUACUGUGGUAUAAGUGUCAAACAGCAGAUUUCAUAUUUUUAUAAUUUGCUUAGUAUCAUAAGAAACAACUACAAAAAUUUCCAGAUUAAUUGCAUGAUCCAAAUAUUUAUUAAAAAUCAUAAACCACUACCAUGCAAGCCUUUAAAUCACUAUAAAUUCAUUCAUACACCAAAUAAUGUGUAGCAAAAUUUUCCCAGUGACUAAACAUACAUGCAGAGCUAGCAAAACAAGUUUCACAUUUUUCUGAGUCAUAUUUUAAUUACUAUGCAUUUUCCAAUUCCAGCAAAAACAUGAAUUAAUUAUUUUUGUCCAGAAAAAGUGUUCAAACAUGGCAUGCAAUUACAUCAAACUGUAGAUCUGAGAACAGAGAGCACACCAAAAUUUGUCUCACCAAUUUUGGAACCAUACAACUCAAGAUAAAGAUUUUACAAGAUUUAAACCGAUUUCUGGAAAAACUUUAUUUAAGAAAACCGACGAAAAACACUAAACUCACCUAGAUCCACACCUCCAGAGGCACUGACAGGUGGGAUCCAGGGCCGUGACCCCACGGGUCAGCCAUGCAACACACCGGCGGAUCUUCGGCCGGCCGGCUCUCACCGACGGCGAAGUCUCCGGCCACGGGGUGAGCACCAGCGUGCUCCCCGUAGCGAGGCGCACCCAGGGGUGCCCUUGGAUCGGCCGGAGGAUGACCGGAACACCUCCGACGAGCAUGCAUGGCGACACGGUGGCGCAGCUCGCUGUGGCCAGGCCGCUCCGGUGCGGUAGAGCGCGCGCAAGUGUCCCUCCGAGCUUCCUCACCGCACUACCGACCAAGCGCACCAAAGAACGAGCGAAAAGAGGCGGGAUAUAGCAAGAUCCGUCGCGGCGGAGCUCUCCGGCGAGGUCGGAGCAACUCCGGCGAGCGAUUCACGGCGCACGACUGCUUCUCACCUCGGUAGAGCGUACGCAGGGGCUUACCUCGGCGACGGCGAGUGCGCUGGUGUCCUUGGCGUCGAGGUUGGAGCUCUGGUGCGACCGGCGGCGAGCAGCGGAGCUUUUUUCCGGCAAUGGCGCGGGCGAAGCUGCUGCUGCUGCGGCUGUGUGCACGGACGGAGGAAGGAGGGAGAGGGCGCGGGCGACAGAAUGGAGGGAGCGUCUGGGGACGCGGGGCGGCGUCCUGACCAGGUGGGAGGGGGUGGUCGGCCGCGGCGCGCCCAACGCCGGCGUACGGCCGCCAUGUGGCUGCCGCGGGAUGGGGCAAGGCGGGCGCCGCACGAGGGAGAGAGAGGGGAGGGGGAGGCAGGCCGGGCUGCUGGCUGGGCCGAAAGGGAGGCGGGUCGGCCCAGCAGCGCCUGUCCCCUUUUCCUUUUUUUUGAAAUUCUUUUCUCAAGCUCUUUCUAAAUUCAUUUGAACUGUUUAAAAAUCAUUUUCACCUUUUUCUAACAAAACAAAAGUUGUUCUAAAUCAAAAACCCUACAACUUUGUUUUAAUAAGCAAGGUCAAAUUCCAAAUAGAAUUUGAAUUACAGAUUAAAACUAGUUCUAGGUUGUCAAAUAAAUUCAUUUUGGGGAUUUUUGUAUAAAUUCCAUUUCUCAAAUUCUAUGGCUCCAAAAAUUUCACAAAAAAUUCUCUUAAAUCUUUUUGCACACAAUUGAACCUAGUUUGAAUAUUUCACAAUUUUAGAAGCAAGCAUCAUAUUUUUAACACAUUUAAAUCACAUAGAAUAAAGCACACAAAAUCACAUUUUGGAUGGAUGACAUGCUCAUGUGAUGCUAUGCUUGAUGAGAAUGCUUAUGAAUGUUUUGAUAAGACUAAGUGCAUGCUUAACACCUAGGGUGUUACAAACGGUAAGGUCUCUUGGGCGGAUGAAGAUGCCCGUGCCGCUCAGGAGGCUAUGGAGAAGGCCAAAGAAGAGGCCGCCCAGUCCAGGGAACAGGCGGUCUCAGCUAAGGAAGCGGUUGUUAAGGCUCGGGAGGAAGCAGCGCGGUAUAAGGGCGAGGCCGUUGACCUUGACAAUGGGGCAGAGGCUCGUAGAGUCAGACCUAGCCGCCGCCCGAUGCAAUUAUGUCGGGCUAAAUGAGGAGCUUCUAAUGAGUGAGAUUGCUCGGGGCGCAGUAGAGGAGGCCGAGAAGAAGGUCUGUGUGGACCUCGAGGUAGAACACGCCCACUCUUGCAACCUUUUUGAUGACAUCGAUCGUCGAAAGAAAGCGCUGCUGGUGAAAGAAGAUGCUAUCCUACAGUCGGGCAAGCUGAUCGAGGACCUGCGGGUCGACAAGACAGAGCUGGCCCGCUCCUACAAGAAGAUCGAGAAACCUAACACCGACCUGGUUGGUGAAAACAUGACUCUUGAGGAGAGGAUCCGCGGUAGGUUUUCUAUGCUCUUAUGUUUUCUUUUCUUUGUGCGGUGUUCCUUUUCUAUCAUCUGAUCCCUUAUUUUGGUCAUUGCAGAGCUUAAGGAUGAUCUCCUGGCAGCCCAGGCCGAUUCCCAGUCUUUUAAGGCGUAGCUCGAGGGGGAGGUCAUGUUGAUAGGUCAACUGAGAACAUCAAUUAACAACCUCUCAAACUGUUAGGAGCUCGAGCCUACAAAUGAGACGGGGGAGGCGGCUCGAGGUAAUGCUCUGGUCGACCAGCUAUGCUACCUGGGCGCCACUCUAAGAGACCGAGUGCGGGACGCACUCCAUAGUGGGGUGAAGCGGGCUAUGGCAGUUGUCUGCUCGGGCUUCUCCUAUGAUAUGGAGGUAGUGUCCCACGGCUUCAUCACUGAAAUCUCCAAGACCGACGCUGAGAAUGAGGAGAGACUCCAUGCCUUGAUCGACGAAGCAGAGGUUCCUGGCGAAAGGCUGGCGAAGCUGUUCGAGCCAGAGGUGCUCCCUCCUGAGAUCGGCGCGGGCACAGAAGAUGGGGUUGAAGGCGGAGAUGAAGACUAAGGCCUGCGAGCCUAAUCUGGGUACUUAGACCCAUUGUAAUAUAUUUAGCACUUGUCUUAGAUAAGCAUUGUGGCCCAAGUGGCCUUAAGACUCAUGUUUUCUGUAUAUUCUUGUUAUUUUUAUACUCGAGUUUCCUUUAUUGCCUUGCUGCCUAAGUUCGUGUUCCUCGAUCGAUCUUUCAUUAAAAACAACUUCGAUUGCUUCGAGGGUGAGGGAGUGAGUAGAGUUACCAUAGCCCAGAGGCGUAGGGAUUCUCAGGCUCGAUGUCCCUCGGCCCUUAAGGGGCUCGAGGUGCCUUUACUACUCGAUCGUGCGGGGUUUCCUUAGGGCUUGAAAGGGAAAAGAUAACGUCGAGCUUUUGAAAAAUCGUUCGAUUUUUAGGAGCCUAUGGGGUUCCCCCCUACUAGCCCCCGAGGGAGUUUUGACUAUGAUGGGUCAUAGUCGAGACUUCCUCCUAAUGUCGAGAUUCGAUGGUACUAUUAUGUACUAUUUUGAAAAAGUACUUUCAUUUAUUCGAAUAUACAUUCACAAAGCCUUGAUGGUACAAGAUGUAUAUGAAACAUGGAGCCUCAAAGCUUUAGGGGUAGAAUCAACGUAGUUGUUUGAUGUUCCAUGCGUUGGUGAAGACCGCCCCCUUUUCAUCUGUGAGCUUGUAUGUCCCAGGCUUCAGGACCUCUGCCACCACGUACGGACCCUCCCACAGUGGGGUCAACUUGUGGCGUCCUUGAUUGCUUUGCCGUCGGCAUAGGAUGAGGUCGCCCAUGUUGAGGUCCCUCUUGCAUAUGUGCUUGUUGUGGUAGCAUCGAAGCUUCUAUUGGAACCUUGCUGAGUUGAUGAGGGCCAUGUCUCAAGCUUCCUUGAGUUGGUUGACUGCGUUCUCUCGAGUCUCCUUGUUUGUCUGCUCAUUGUAGGCUUUGAGUCGAGGUGACCCAUACUCGAGGUCUGUUGGAAGUACAGCCUCAGAGCCAUAGACCAUGAAGAACGGGGUAUAUUUUAUUGCUCUGCUUGGCAUCGUUCUUAGGCUCCACAGGACCAAGGAGAGUUCCUCAACCCAUUUCUUGCUGAACUUCUUUAGCCGAUUGUAGAUUCUAGGCUUGAGCCCUUGCAAAAUCAUGACAUUGGCUCGCUCGACCUAGCCGUUAGUUCGAGAGUGAGCUACUGUGGACCAGUUCACAUGGAUGUGACGCCGAUCACAGAAGUCCAAGAACUUUUUGCAAGUGAAUUAUGUGCCAUUAUCGGUGAUGAUGACAUUGGGUAUCCGAAACCGGUGGAUUAUGUCGGUGAAGAAGAGGACAGCCUGCUCGGAGUGAAUGUUCGUGAUGGGUCGAGCCUCUAUCCACUUUGAGAACUUGUCGAUGGCCACUAGCAAAUGGGUGUACCCUCCUGCUGCCUUUUGAAGAGGGCCACGAGGUCGAGGCCCCAUACUGCAAACGGCCAAGUGAUGUGGAUCAUCUGUAGAGCGUGAGCGGGGAGGUGUGUUUGCUUGGCGUAGAAUUGGCACCCAUGGUAUGAACGAACCAGCUUGAUGGCGUCGAUGAUGGCCGUUGGCCAGUAGAAGCCUUGUCGCAAGGCGUUGCUGACGAGGGUUUUGGGAGCCGCAUGGUGGCCACAAGCCCCCGAGUGUAGAUCCUCGAGGAGCUUCCGAGCUUCCUCUAUGGUGAUGCACCGUUGCAAGAUCCUGGUCGGGCUUCGCCGGUAUAGCUCUUUGCUUUCGUCGUAGAUCACGUAUGAUUUGGCCCGUCGAGUGAUACGACAGGCCUUGGCUCGAUCUUCUGGUAAUUCACCCCGGAUCAGGCAGUCAAGGAAGGGCGUACACAAAUCAAAUGGCCGACCGGAGUGUUGAGAGGGUUGCUCGAUUUCCAUUACCUCUACCGCUGCUAGUAGGGCCUCGAUCGUAUCGAUGGGCCCAGGUGUGGAGGUCUCGACGCUAGCACCCAUGCUGAGGUUGAUAGAUGGUUCGAGCAGGUCCCUUGAGAACGCGUCUGGUGGGACAGUGCCUCGAGUGGACGCAAUUUUGGCAAGCUUGUCGGCCGCUUCGUUGUAUCGCCUUACGAUGUGAAUGAGUUCGAGGCCAUGGAACUUGUCUUCAAGCUUGCGUACUUCCUUGCAGUGAGCCUCCAUUUUUGGGUCAUGGCAGCUCGAGGCUUUCAUGACUUGAUCGAUAACCAGCGGAGAGUCGCCAUGAACGUCGAGGCGUCAGACCCCGAGCUCGAUAGCGAUCCUUAACCAGUUGACGAGGGCCUCGUACUCUGCAACGUUGUUAGACGCAGCAAAAUGUAUUCGGAUGACAUACCUCAUGUGGAUGCCGAGAGGUGAGAUGAAUAGCAAGCCUAUCCCAGCCCCCGUCUUCAUGAGUGACCCGUCGAAGUACAUUGUCCAGAGUUCGCCUAGACAAGAGCAGAGGGAGCUGGGUGUCUGUCCAUUCUACGAUGAAGUCCAUCAGCGCCUAGGACUUGAUGGCUUUGCGAGGCACAUAUGUGAGGGUCUCUCCCAUGAGCUCGACCGACCACUUAGCGAUCCUCCCAAUGGCCUCUCGAUUCUAAAUGAUCUCACCCAGUGGGAAGGACGAGACCACCGUGAUCGGAUGGUCGAGAAAGUAGUGCUGCAGCUUGCGUCGGGCGAGAAUCACAGCAUAGAUCAGUUUUUGAAUUGGGGGUGUCACACCUUUGUUUCUGAGAGCACCUCGCUGAUGAAGUAGACCGGUCGCUGAACUGGUAGCGCGUGCCCUUCCUCUAGUCUUUCGACCACCACAACCACGCUAACGACCUGGGUCAUCGCCGCAACGUAAAGGAGCAGAGGUUCUACGCUCAUGAAGUAGACCGGCCGCUGAACUGGUAGCACGUGCCCUUCCUCUGGUCUUUCGACCACCACAGCCGCGCUAACAACCUAGGUCAUCGCCACAAUUUAAAGGAGCAGAGGUUCUACAGGUCGAGGAGGCACUAGGAUCGGAGCAGUGGUCAGCAUCCUUUUGAGUUUAUCGAGAGCUUGCUCAGCCUCGAUGGUCCAUGCAAAGUGCUUAGCUUUCUUCAGAAGUCGGUACAGUGGUAACGCUUUUUCCCCUAGCCUUGAGAUGAAGUGGCUGAGCGCUGCCAGAUAGCACAUUACCUUCUGCACGCCCUUGACGUCUCAAAUCGGCCCCAAUUUGGUGAUGGCCGAGACUUUCUCGGGAUUGGCCUUGAUGCGGCGCUGGGAGACUAUGUAUCCUAGGAGCAUGCCUCGAGGCACGCCAAAGACACAUUUUUCGAGGUUCAGCUUGAUAUUGUUAGUACGCUAGCAGCCAAAUGCGAUCUCGAGGUCCUGAAUCAGGUCACCUUGCCUUUUUGAUUUGACGACGAUGUCGUCGUGUCGCACCCAGUUUUCCCAAGAAUAACAAGCGCUAACUAUAUGUGUGCCAGGAUGUCCACACGACACAUAUAGCGACAAAUAUGGAGAAUUUCAAGAACAAUGCUUUAUAUUAUAUCAAAACAUAGUUACGACAAGGCUUACAUCUAUUACAAAGCAUAGCAGAAACUAUUCUUAAUCUUUACUUUGGGUCUCCAUACUCCACAAGGACGGUUGAGUGGGGGUACACUCGCCUAGUACUCCUGGAACGUCUUAGGGAACUCCACCUUUGAUUCACCAUCUGGUACCCAUUCAGGAUUUUUGAUUGUUGAAUGUAAAGCAAGUGUGAGCACACCAUACUCAACAAGUAUAACAUUAGGGGAUGCAAGGCUCAAAAGGCUAGACACAGCUGAACUACGGUAAACAUUUUUAGUUGGUCAUGUUUUAUUAUUAUAAACCUAUGUAACUAAGUUAUGCUUAAGCUCCGAAGGUGAGAAGUAUAAUUAUCAUCAAAAUUAAUCAUCACCCAAACCAUCCAUAGAACCAUCCAUCUCAAAAAGGAUUCAGGCCGCUCUAGACCGAGAGCACGGCUGAUAUAUCUAUUUUUGUAACUCUGCAGGGUAUGUACAUCUUUACCCAUGAGUCGUGAUUGCCCUUUGCCCGAGGGUGCCAACCUCUUUGUAACAGAACCGUCCAAAUUAUAAGAGAUUAAGCCUAAUAGUGACCAUUUGCACAGUCAAACCAUCGAGCUUAAGCCCAUGAAAUCUCGAAGGAUUUCAAACCACAACUCGUACAUACAGCCAAGAUCGUAAUAAGUUCAGCGGUCACCAUUCACAAUUACAUCCAGUGCACAACAUUCAACAAAUACAUCGGAGUACUUAAAAUUAUUACAAACCAAGUUCUCAAGUAGCGGAAGCUUCAUAGUUUGAAAGUAACACACACACACAUUCAGUUUGAUACAGUGCCAUAGUUCGGUCAUUCCCACAAAAGCAAAAAAGAAGGUAGAGUGACCAUCGCCCUUGGUCUACUCAUCGCCCAUAGCUGGGUACAAGCAGAGGAUGCAAUAACCAUAGUACAUUUGACCAUCUGCAAAACAACAUGGGAAUAGAACCCUGAGUACGAGAAUGUACUCAGCUGGACUUACCUGUCAUAAACCAAAAAUAAAGACUCUUCAAAGAUCAUGACGGCUGUAUGGUGGGGUAGCUGAAACUUUUUGCAUAAAAGCAUUAUUCCACUAACACAUAGCCUAGAGACCUUUCUUCUUUUAAUUAGCUCAAGUUUGAUAAUAUCAUUACGUAUUAUCUAGGUUUGCACCUGUACUAUUGCAAGCAAGUGUAGUAAUAUGAUGGCACCUCAUCAUAGCAUUCCUAAAUCAUUUAUCGUCAUACCCCAAGUGUUCCAUACUCCUUACUACAAGGAUAGGGCUCAUGUCAAGUGCUCACUAUCUAGGAGCGAUGGUGAUUCGAAUCGAUUUCUAACCAGCUGGCGAGUUUAUUCCCCACACAAACCACACUCACUGAUCAAGUGAGCUACAGAUCACCGUGUUGCAGUAUCCAGCACCAAUUUGAUGGUUCGACAGGCACCGCCUGUACCCGAGGACCUUUCCAGCGACCGAGGUAUCCAAGGUAUACCAAGGUUGCGCGCCGCGCCCUUGUCGUUCUCCUCAACCAUCACCAAUACAGCGCGUGGGGCUUCGGAUAGUGCUCAGGCUUCGCGGUCGAAACGACUUAUCCUUCCAGCUAAGUGUGGGCAUGCGUUCAACAUGACAAGAGGGCUAUCAACAAUCGGUCCUUAAUCGACACAGGCAGGGGCACUAUGAUCAACCCACCACAAGACCCUGCCCGGUCUCAAAUUCCUUUCCACACUUGGUUAUCCUUCCCCAUAGCAAUUACAGCUAAUCAAACAGGUGUCCACCUAUAUCUCGCAGGUGACAGGAAAUCAACCGACUUCUACCGGACUAAGCAAACUAAGCAUGGACUCUGUGCCUAUCUACAUAGGACAAGGUAGAUAAACAAGUGGUGAUAUCAAGGAGUACUUAUGCAUCAACAGUAUCAAGCAAUUCCUAGCACUUAAAUGCAACAAAGUGGAACAAGCAUAAUAUAUCAUUAAGUUAGCGAGAAUAGGGAGACUUAGAAUGCUCCGGGGCUUGCCUUUCUCAACUGUGCUCGGUCUGUGGUUCGUGCACUCCUGUAGCUCCUCUCCGGGCUCUGGUCCUCCCAGAGGUUCCUGCUCCUGGGUCUCCUCCUGCUCCUCGGGUCCCACCUCGUUCUCCUGCGAGCCUGUAUGAUGCAUGUGUGCUCAUGAGUGGAGUGCGAGAUGCCCGGGGUGCAAUGCUUAUACAAGUGGAUAGCAGAUGACCAUGACAUGAUGCAUAGAUGAUAUAAGUGGUCACUUUUUCAAGGUAGUCAACAUCAUCCAAGAACAUGAAAUCGAACUAAACAUCUAUUACAUUCUCUUCUACAAGUUGCCUUCAAGGUUAACCAGCAAGCUCACAUGAUGCUUCAAAGAUACACCCAACAUCCUCUUACUUUACUUAAUCUAUGUAUAACAAUUCAUAAUUUAUCUAUCCACUUUUAGGCCUACAACAGUAGCAUAUAUGUCUGUUUAUCAACAAAUUCCACAAAAAUUACAGGAGACUACUAAUCAAUCAUAAAGUCUACCAUAAAUUUCUCAUAAUAUUUGGACACUUAUUUUGAGCUACAAAAAUCACAAGAUUAAUCUAUAUAAACAAGUAUAAAUACCCUACUGUGGUAUAAGUGUCAAACAGCAGAUUUCAUAUUUUUAUAAUUAACUUGUUAACAUAAGAAAUACCCACAAAAAUUUCAAGAUUAAUUGCAUGAUCCAAUUAUUUAUUAAAAAUCAUAAACCACUGCCAUGCAAGCAUUUAAAUCACCAUAAAUUAAUUCAUAUAGUAAAUAAUGUGUAACAUAUUUUUCCCAGAGCCUAAACAUCCAUGCGGAGCCAAAAAAACAAGUUUCAUAUUUUUCUGAGCUAUAUUUUAAUUACUAUGCCUUUUCUAAUUUUCAGCAACAACAUGGGUUAAAUAUAUUUGCACAGAAAAGUUGUUCAAACAUGACAUGCAACGAUACCAAACUAUAGACCUGAGAUUAUAGAACACACCGAAAUUUAUUUCAUCCAUUUUGGAGCUAUAUAUCUCAAGAUAUGGAUUUUAUAUCAUUUAAACUAUUUUCUGGAAAUUAUUUUCUGAAAACCAAUUCGAAAUCGGGAUGAAAAACACUAAAGACACCCGGAUCUCUACCCAUCUUGGUCCCGCCUAUGACUGACAGUGGGUCCCCGACCCCACUGGUCAGCGUGACCGAGAGGGAGGACACCUCCCACGAGCGGAUCUCGUCGGCGGUGAGGUCCCCGGCCAUGGGGUGAGCACCAUCGUGCUCCCCGCAGCGAGGCGCACCCAAGGGUGCCCUUGGAUCGGUCGGAGGAUGACCGGAGCACCCUCGCGAGCAUGCAUGGCGGCACGGCGGCGCUGCUCGCCGUGGCCAGGUCGCUCGGUGCGGUAGAGUGCGCGCGGGGUUCCGUCGAGGCUUCCCCGUCGAGCUACGGACCUAACGCGCCCAAAAGCAAGCGAAACGAGGCAGAAACUAGCGAGGUUCGACGUGGCGGAGCACUUCGACGAGGUGGGGGAAACUCCGGUGAGCGAUUUACGGCGUGCGGCGGUCUCUCACCUCGGUAGAGCGUGGGCAGAGGAUUACCGCGGCGAAGACGAGUGCUGUGGUGAACUUGGCUCGGAGAUUGGGGCACUAGCGUGGCCGGCGGUGAGCGGCGGAGCUCUCCGGCGAUGGCGCUGCGGCGGAGCUGCUACGGCUGCGGCGCUCACGAGCGGAGGAAGAAGAGGGGAGCGGGGAGGGGACAGAAUGGAGUGCCCUAGUGGCGCGGGGCGGCGUUCCGACCAGGUUAAGGCCGGUCGGCCGCGGCGCGUCCACGACGCCGACGUACGGUCGCCACGUGGCCGGUGUCGGGUGGACGAAGGCGGGCGUCGUGCGUGGGAGAGAGAGGGAGGGGAAACCGGGCCGCGCUGUAUGGCUGGGCCGAAAGGGAGGCGGGUCGGCCCAGCAGCGCCUGCCCCCUUUCUCUUUUUUUUUGAAAUUAUUUUUUCCAAAAAGCUUAAAUGAGACUUUUGAAGCUUUUACAAAUCUUUUUAGGGGUUGGAGUAAAAAGAAGAAUUGUUCCCAUAAAAUUCCCAACAACUUUGUUUUAAUAAGCAAAACCAAAUUCCAAUUAGAAUUUGAAUCACAAAUUAAAACUAUUUCUAGGUUUUUUUAAUAAAUUCAUUUUAGGGAUUUUUGUAUAAAUUCCAUUUCUCAAUUCCUAUAACUCCACAAAUUUCACAAAAUUACUCUUAAAUCUUCUAACACAUAUUUCAACCUAAUUUGGGCAUUUCAAGAAAUUUAGAAGCAAGCAUAAUAAUUUCACCAUAUUUAAUUCACAUAAAACAAAGCACAUAAAAUCACAAUUGAAUGAAGGACAUGUUCAUGCAAUGCUAUGGUUGAUGAUAAUGCUUAUGGAUGAGUUUAUGAGACUAAGUGCAUGCUUAACACCUAGGGUGUUACAGCCCUUCCCCCCUUAGGGAAAUCUCGUCCCGAGAUUUUGGGUUACUAACCAUUUCUUAUGAAAUUUUGGAUAAACUGUCUUUAGGUAAUCCUCGGUUUCCCAGGUGGCAUCCCUAUCAUCAUGAUGACUCCACACCACCUUAUAUGUUUUGACAACUCUGUUCCGGGUUACCCGCUCCUUGGUGUCUACGAUCCCCACUGGCUGCUCCUUAUAUUCUAAGUCUGCCUUUAAUUUGAUCCCUCGGGGUUCAAUCCUUUGCUCAGGCACCUUUAAACAUUUUCGUAGCUGCGACACAUGGAAAACUGGAAAGAUCGAGCUCAAUUCCUCUGGUAACUGAAUCUUGUAGGCCACAGGGCCUUUUCUUUCUAAUAUCUGAUGUGGUCCCACAUAUCUGGGUCCAAGUUUUCUUCGAACUCGGAAACGCUGAACUUUCUUCAUUGGCGUAAUCUUGAGGUAAACAUAGUCACCUAUAUUGAAUUCGAGUGGUCUUCUUCUCUUAUCAGCAAAACUCUUUUGUCGCAAUUGUGCCGCCUUAUAUGCUGCUGUAUGAUUUGCACCUUUUUCUCAGCCUCGUUCACGAAGUCGAUACCAUAGUAUCUCCUUUCACCAGGUUCAACCCAGUGCAAUGGAGUCCUGCAUCUUCGACCAUACAAAGCUUCGAACAGAGCCAUCUUGAUACUCUCUUGAUAGCUAUUAUUGUAUGAGAAUUCGGCCAAAGGUAACCAUGAUUCCCAUGAUCCCUUGGAUGAUAACACACAAGCCCUCAGCAUAUCUUCUAGUACUUGAUUGAGUAUUUCCGUUUGACCCGAGGUUUUGGGGAUGAUACGUUGUGCUUCUUAUCAGAGUAGUCCCCAAACUCUUAUGCAUUCGCUCCCAGAAAUGAGCAGUGAACUGCGGUCCUCUAUCUGAUAUGAUGGUCUUGGGAAUACCAUGCAACUUAACAAUCUCAGCUAGAUACAGGUCAGCAUACUCGGGAGGUCUGUAACGAGUCUUAACAGGAAUGAAAUGAGCCGACUUCGUUAAUCGAUCUAUGAUUACCCAAAUCGAGUCAUUCCCUUUUCUUGUCGUCGGUAAACCUGUGAUAAAGUCCAUACUGAAUUCUUCCCAUUUCCACUCUGGAACUGACAAAGGUUGCAACAGACCUGCAGGUUUCAUAUGUAUAGCCUUGACUCUGCAACAUGUGUCACAACGGGCCACAUAUUCUGCUAUCUCUUUCUUCAUAUUAGGCCACCAAAACUGAGAUCUCAGGUCUUGAUACAUCUUACUACUGCCAGGAUGAAUGGAAAGCUUGGAGAGAUGUGCUUCAUCCAUGAUGCCAUUCUUCAAUUCUCGAUUCUUUGGAACUACCAGCUGGUGCUGAAACCAUAAUACCCCCUUUUCAUCAACUUGGAAUUGAGUCCUUGGGUCGUUUUUGAUCUUUUCUUUGAUGUGGGAAAUACCCUUGUCUAUUUUCUGACCCUCGAUGACUUGACUCUCCAGUGAACAACUGAGUUGUAUGUGACAUAAGACUUCAGGAUGCAUGAGAUUAAAGCCAUCCUCAAACAACGGUUGAACCACUUGAUAGUGCGGUUUGUCACUCAAAGCGUCUGCUACCACAUUAGCCUUGCCUAGAUGAUAAUGGACUUCCAAGUCGUAAUCCUUGAUCAGUUCUAACCAUCUUUGUUGCCUCAUAUUCAGAUCAGACUGAGUGAAGAUGUAUUUCAGACUCUUAUGAUCUGUGUAGAUAUGACACUUGUUUCCUAGCAAAUAGUGCCUUCAGAUCUCCAGAGCGUGCACCACUGCUGCUAACUCGAGGUCGUGGGUUGGAUAGUUGACCUCGUGCUUCCUCAAUUGUCGCAAAGCGUAAGCUAUUACCCGGCCAUCUUGCAUAAGCACACAUCCUAAGCCACUUUUCAAUGCGUCGCAAAACACAUCAAAAGGCUUCUCCAUAUUGGGUUGCGCUAAAACGGGAGCGGUGGUUAGCAACUUUCGCAAGGUGCGGAAGGCUAGUUCACACCUCUCCGUCCAGACAAAUUUAUGAUCCUUUUGCAGCAAACUGGUCAUUGGCUUAGCAAUCUUAGAGAAGUCGGGUAUGAAACGACAAUAAUACUCGGCCAGGCCAAGAAAACUCCGAACUUUCGAAACAGAAUUUGGCGCCUUCCAGUCCAUGACUUCCCGUACCUUUGACGGAUCCACAGCAAUCCCCUCUUUAGACAGAAUGUGCCCUAGGAAAGGAACCUUCUUCAGCCAGAACUCACACUUGCUGAACUUAUCCUCCCCAAUGGAUAUCUCCAUUCUAUUCGUUCAUCGACAAUCUUACCGUUACAAAGCACUGCCGAUGGACCGACUAGGAAAUCUCGCACAGUAAAAUAUCUCCAGAUUACAACCACUUACUGUCAAAUCACCUACACAAUCCCUUGAUUCCCGUGCAAACAGUUACCAUAUCUUCCUGAGUAUCCUCGGAUUUCACGGAUACGGCGAAGUAAUAAGUCAGAUUUACCCUUGCCCAUUUCGCCCUAUAAAUGGUUCCUUCUCGGGUACUCCUUCCCCAUCACAUCAUUCUGUAGCCCAAACUCUGCUUCUUUGGUAGCGGCGCUGUUCAAGAGCUCCAAGAACUCCAGCAAAGGCUUUCCACCAAUCUCAAAGCCUUCAACCUUCUUCCUCGCGAAGAAAAUGGGCAUCAACUUCACCGUCCCCGAGGUCAGUUCAUCACCCCAUCUCGGGUACUUUUACCAUGUCCUGGCUCAUCUGCAAUUUAUUUUACUGAGCACCCUCCUUUUCUCUCUUUUUGUUCUUGUUCUUCUUUUCACCCCUAAAACCAAUAGGAUCUGUCCAACAAACUAGUCAUCCCUACCGAUUAGCCACAUCUCCAGCGUCUUGGUCCACUAGGGAACCCAGAUCCCACAGAUUUGAUUAACACAGAAACAAAUAGGAUCCCUUUUAGAGCGGAGAAUUUCUCCUUAGAUUUGUGGAAAGACACCUUCCGUUCCUGGCCCAGUCAUACCGUGGGAUGGAAGGAUUGGUUCUUGAGGGUCAGCCACUCGAACGAGGUUCAGUGGGGUGAGCGAAAACUGGACCAAUGUAUCAGGCUGUCCAUUGCCGAUAUGCAUAGGAAUGAGUCUCUGCUGAUCGCUGCAUCUUAUUUCUGGUCGGACACACUCAAUGCUUUCGUCUUUGGUCACGGCCAUGCUUCCCCUACACUUGCCGAUGUGGUUAUGCUCACCGGCCUGGACGUAUCUUUUGCCGAUAGUAGCCAUUUUUUCGAUACCGCACCCAGUGCCAAGGUAGAAACUCGUUCCAUCGGCGGUUGGUCGGGAUACAUCCAAAAAUACAAACGAACAGGCCCUGUCAACAUAAAGGAACAGACCUGUUUCCUGAACAUGUGGUUAGACAAAUUUGUAUUUUGUGGUCGAUCGGCAGGACCAACCUCUGUCUAUCUAGCGGCAGCAGAAAGAUUAGCCAAUGGUGGCCGAUUUCCCCUCGGCUGAUACCUGCUUGGCGCGGCUUACCACCUCCUUCAUCAAGUAACCAAGAAACUCCUACUCGGCCAGCCCAUCGGCAACUUGGGGGGUCACUGGUGGUUUAUCAACAUGUGGCUCAGCCUCCACAUGCACAAGCAUCUUGAGUUUGAUCUCUUCGCACAGCGCUUCCCCAGGGAUAUAGCCGAGGACUACAAAUUGGAUGAAGAAUCGGCAACUCGUCCCCCUCUGAACUUCGGUGAGGCUGCCAUAGUUCUGCCCGGUACAGGAGGCAAUGCGGACCAGGUCAGCCGAUUCUUCCAAACCCUGUAUGAAGGCCUGACCAUAGAACAGCGAGCAUGGAUGCCCUAUGAAGAUCCAGACACCAUGUUUCCUUUGGUCUUCCAUCCGUUCAACAAUACUCUUAACAAAGAUGACGAAGUGAUGAUGGCACUGAUCACCCCCAGAGUUAUACCAGUGAAGUUCUUUGGCAAUGGGAAAACCUCCAACCAAACCUAUGAGUUUUACAAUCCAUCGGCACUAGCCCGUCAACUAGCUUUCGGCCAGCUGCCGAUUGCACUCUGUUAUGCCGAUGUGAUAAAACCCAGGGAAGUCAUUACUAACCUCCUCGAGUGGAUCCGAGUAGCCCAACUAGCACCGACUGCCGAUACAGAUGUAGAUCUGUCGGAGUGGGUCCCAGCCCUCUUUAUCACUCAGGCAUACAAGCAAUGGUGGGAGGAGUGGAAGGAGCAUUUGUUCUGCAGAUCGGCCCUCACAUACCGUGGGAUGAUUGAUCCCCAAUACAAGGUCCCUGAUGAUACUGUAAGUACCUCUAAACCGACGUUCUAACCUUUUUACUUUCAUUUUCAUCGGUAAUUCACUUUCUGUGUUAUGUUGCAGGUUGAUGACACUCCUCCAUCGGUCAACAGGAGUGGCAAGCCGAUUGAUUUGUUCCCAUUAGGUCCGAUCUCUUCAAUCGGCAACAACGCUCCUACUCUGGCCGCCAUCAUGCAGCGAGGUGUACACCUCAAGAAAGUUACCACCAAGAGGACUCAGAUAUCUCCAUCGGUAGCUGCCUCUACCUUGGCACAGGCGUUCAAGGUACAUUUUCAAACUCUUUUAUAUCGAUAUCACUCUUAUAUCUGAUGCACUUGUACUUACGAAUCUCCCUCUCAGUAUCAGCACACCAGCGCAUCAGCAAGGACCAGAAGCAAAAGUGUCGAUGCCCCCCCAGUCCAGUCAGCCGAAGAGAAAAGGUGCCAAGAGUACCAGAGCACAAACAAAGCGCCAGAGAGUAGCAACACCUCCUCCUCCCCCGGUAUCUCUAGUUCCAGUAGAGUCAUCUCCCUCUUCUCUAGAAACACAGACACAGCAAGUACCGUCUUCCCCUCAGCCGCAAGAAGCACCUCAAAUGGAAGAACCCCGACCAGAAAAGCCCCAACCAGAAGCACCUCAGCCAGAAGACUCAUCGGCUGAUAUGGGCGAGCAGGCUACCGAUCCAGCAGGAUCAAUCAUAUCAUCGGUAGUUUCCUCGAUCCAGACAAGCAUUGCACCUCCCCAAGGUAACACACUCCCUAUGAUAUCAUUACCGAUGAACUUAUUCCCUCUGUUCUUACAACUAUUUCUAUUAUUUUUUCAGCCGACAUAAUUCCAUCGGCAGCCCCAGCCGAUCAACCUGUGGUUCCAUCGGCAUCUUCUGGUCAAAGGCGAGAAAUUGCCUUGAAACAAGUAAGUUAUCCAAUCCCUGUCUGUAUUUAUCAAAACCUGGCCAUAGAAUAACUCGUCUUAUCUCUUUUUCAGGAGCAGGAUUCUCCCGAUAGUUUGUUCUCUUUUGCCAUCGACAUCUCUGAAGAUGAAGGUGAGGAGGCAAGCUCUUCUCGGGCAGUUGGGAUUACAUCGGCAGAGGUCAGGGCAAAGCUGGAAGAACUGUCGGCUCUCCUCCAUCAAAACAUAGCCCAACUAGUUGAUGACUCUGAUCCGGCCAAGGCUUUAUUCAAGACCCUGAGAGGCCAAAUCCCUGCCGAUGCCGAAGAAGUUCUCUUCCAAGCAGCACAUCUGGAGAGCCGUCAACUGCAGUACCAGAGGGCUGCCCAGUGCCUUGCCGAUAGAGCGGCUUAGACUCAACUUUCUGAGGAGAUGAUGAAAGCAAAGCUUCUUGCCGAUGAGAAGCAAAAGAACAUUGAUGCCUUGAAGUCCUCAGGAGAUGCACUGAAGCACAAGAUCUCAGAUCUGUCAGCAAAAAGAGAAACCCUGUUGGCCGAGCUCAAGCAAGUGGAAGAAGCCUUGUCCCAGGCUCAACAAGAGGAAAACCAGCUGCCCGAGGCGAUUGAGCAAGAGCGAAAUGUCCAUGGUCGUAAAGCGCUGCUUCUGAAGAAGAAAUUGAAGCCGGUGGAAGGUUCUGCCGAUGAAGACAUUAAACAGAUAGAAGCAGCCAACCAAAUUCGUUUGCGCGCCAUAUCGGCGAUCCAGGCGCUGCUAAACAUGUGAGCUCCUCAUCGGCAACAUACCUGCCCCUUUCUGCUUUCCAAUCUUCCUGACAUUUGGUCUAGCCGAUAGGACUGUUAUCGGCAUUUUUAAAAACACUAAGUCCGGCCCCAAACACAUUUUGAUCCAGCCGAUAGGAUUGUUAUCGGCACUUAAACUUUUAUGCAUCGACCCAUAUGCUUGGGUAAUACUUCUUUAGAUAUUUGCCAUUUAAUGCUCUAGGAAAUUCGACUCCUUCGAGGGUUUCUAGGAUGUAGGCAUUACCAGGAGCCGAUCGACCUAUCCGAUAGGGACCCUCCCAAUUAGGAGACCAUUUGCCAAAUUUUGAACUUUUAGUCCCGAUCGGUAAGAUUAAUUUCCACACUAAGUCUCCAUCGGCAAACUCCUUAGCCUUUACUUUCUUAUCAUACCAUCUGGCAACUCUCUUCUUAUUCUCUUCUAUACUCAUUAAGGCCUUUAGCUGAUGUCCUGCUAGAUCAUCUAACUCAUCUGUCAUUAAAGUAGUAUAAUCAUCGGCAGCUAGUUGAUCUUGAAAAGAUAGUCGCCUAGAUCCAGUCUUAAUUUCCCAAGGCAACACUGCAUCAUGCCCAUAUACCAACUGAUAAGGUGAAACCUUAGUCGAUCCAUGACAAGCCAUUCGGUAUGACCACAAAGCCUCAUUUAACAACGUGUGCCACCUCCUAGGAUUUUCUUCAAUCUUUCGCUUGAUGAGCUUGAUAAUUCCUUUGUUAGACGCCUCGGCCUGCCCAUUAGCUUGAGCAUAAUAAGGAGAAGAGUUUAACACCUUAAUUCCCAUACCAAUUGCAAAUUCAUCAAACUCCCCUGAUGUGAACAUAGUACCCUGAUCGGUAGUAAUUGUUUGAGGAAUUCCAAAUCGGUAGAUAAUGUGCUCUCUCACAAAAUCAAUCAUAUUGGCCGAUGUAACCUUCUUUAAAGGAAUAGCUUCAACCCACUUGGUGAAAUAAUCGGUGGCAACCAAGAUAAACUUAUGCCCUUUGCUGGAUGGUGGAUAAAUCUGGCCGAUUAAGUCGAUAGCCCAUCCCCGGAACGGCCAAGGCUUGAUAAUAGGAUUCAUGGCUGAUGCGGGCGCCCUUUGAAUAUUGCCAAAUUUCUGACAGCCUUGACACCCUUUGAAAUACUUAAAGCAAUCCUCAAGUAUAGUAGGCCAAUAAUACCCAUUUCUUCUAAUCAUCCACUUCAUCUUAAAAGCCGACUGAUGUGCUCCUCAUACUUCCUCAUGGAUCUCUCCCAUCAAAUUCUUGGCCUCAUCAUCACCUAAGCACUUGAGAAGAAUCCCAUCAAUAGUUCGGUAAUACAAUUCAUCUUCGAGGAGCACAUACUUGGUGGCUUGAAACCGAAUUCGUCUCUCAACUUUCUUGGAUGGAUCCUUCAAAUAAUCAAUGAUUUCUUUUCUCCAAUUAUCGGCACCGAUUGCCGAUAUUGUAUUAAUCAUAGGUUGAUAUCACGAGGCAUGCUGAGCCAACCGAUUGGCCUCUUCAUUAUGCAACCGAGGAACAUGCUCUAACCGGAAAUCCUUGAAUUCCUUUAAUAGUUGCAUACUCCUUUCAUGAUAAGUUAUCAGGACAUCACUUCGGCAUUCAUAGCUUCCAGUCAAUUGAUUUAUAACUAACAUAGAAUCUCCGAAGACCUCAACAGCAUCAGCAUGAACUUCCCUCAGCAAUUCCAAACCCUUUAUCAAAGCUUGAUACUCAGCUUGAUUAUUUGUGGUCGUGGCAGCAAUCGGCAAGGAAAACUCAUACUUCCUCCCUCGAGGGGAAAUUAACACUAUGCCGAUUCCUGCCCCCCGGUCACAUGUGGAUCCAUCAAAGAAGAGCGUCUAAGGUACAAUUUCCAAAGCCUCCACUGCACAGCAAUGUUGAGUUACAAAUUUGGCCAUAAUCUGCCCCUUAACUGCCUUAGCCGAUUCGUAACGCAGAUCGAACUCCGACAACGCCAAAAUCCACUUACCGAUCCUGCCACUCAUGAUCAGCAUAGACAACAUGUAUCGGACCACAUCAUCUUUGCAGAUAACCGUGCAUUCGGCCGAUAGCAAGUAAUGCCUUAACUUAAUACAGGAGAAGUACAAGCAUAAGCAAAGUUUCUCAAUAGCCGAAUACCUGGUCUCAGCAUCAAUCAACCUCCUGCUUAAAUAGUAAAUCACACGUUCCUUCCCUUCAAACUCUUGAAUUAAAGCCGAACCGAUAACCAAUCCAUCGGUAGACAAAUACAGUCUGAAGGGCUUCCCUUGCUGAGGUGGAAUCAGAACUGGAGGAUUCACUAGAUAAUUCUUGAUUUCAUCUAAAGCCAACUAUUGUUCCUUUCCCCAAACAAACUCUUGAUCGGCCUUCAACUUGAGCAAAGGACUAAAAGCACGAAUUUUACCAGACAAGUUAGAUAUAAAUCUCCUGAUAAAAUUUACCUUGCCGAUCAAGGACUGGAGUUCAGUUUUGUUAGUAGGAGCAGCUAUUUUGUUGAUAGCAUCAAUGGAUCUUCGACUAAUUUCAAUUCCUCUUUGAUGCACCAUAAAACCAAGAAAUUGUCCUGCCGAUAAACCCAAUGCACACUUAUUGGGAUUCAUUUUCAACCCAUGCUUCCUUGUACAUUCCAAUACCUUUCUCAAAUCGGCAAGGUGUUUUGUAAAGUCUCCAGACUUAACCACCACAUCAUCAAUAUAAAUCUCCACCAGCUUACUGAUGAACUCAUGAAAUAUGAAAUUCAUGGCCCUCUGAUAAGUAGCACCAGCAUUCUUCAAACCAAAAGUCAUGACUAUCCAUUCAAACAACCCAACAUGACCAGGACAUCUAAAUGCUGUUUUUGGAAUAUCUUCUUCAGCCAUGAAUAUUUGAUUGUAUCCUGCAUUGCCGUCAAUAAAGCUGAUGAUCCGAUGCCCAGCCGCAGCAUCAACUAGCAGAUCGGCAACUGGCAUUGGGUAACCAUCCAUCGGUGUAGCUUUAUUAAGAUUCCUGAAAUCAAUGCAGACCCGAAGCUUCCCAUUUUUCUUGUAGACUGGAACUACAUUGGAAAUCCAUUCGGCAUACCGACACUGCCGAAUAAAUUUAGCUUCAAUCAGUUUGGUUAUUUCGGCUUUAAUAUCAGGAAGAAUAUUAGGGUUACAUCGGCGAGCUGGCUGCUGAUGUGGCCGAAAUCCAGACUUGAUAGGCAACCGAUGUUCAACAAUCGAUCGGUCCAAACCAGGCAUCACGGUAUAAUUCCAAGCAAAGCAAUCUUUAUAUUCCUUCAACAAAUCAAUUAAUUGCUGCUUACACUCAGAAUUUAACUUGCACUAAUAAAAGUAGGUCUAGGCCUAUCACCAUUACCUAUGUCUACUUCUACUAGAUCAUCGGCCGAUGUGAAUCCCUAGCCUAACUUUCCAUCAUCGGCGAACCUAUCCAUUAAAACUCUUCGUUAGAACCGACUGUUUGGAUCGGUGGAAUUUCAUAAUCGGCAACCUUGAGAAAAUCCUUUUCCCAAACUUCUCCUGAAAUACACCUAGUUCUUUCAUAGGUAUCGGCCUCUGCCGAUGCGAUGACGUAAGAAGAAUCUCCUGGGACAAUCUCAAUCUUGUCACCUACCCACUGGACCAAGCACUGGUGCAUUGUAGACGGGAUGCAACAAUUGGCAUGAAUCCAAUCUCUUCCCAACAGCAAAUUAUAUGCACCCAUUCCAGUGAUCACAAAGAAGGUUGUCGGCAAGGUUUUGCUGCCGAUGGUCAACUCAACGUAUAUUGCUCCCUUGACCAGAGACACAGUUCCUUCAAAGUCUUUAAGCAUCAUAUCGGUCUUGGUCAAAUCCUAAUCUCCUCUCCCAAGCUUCCGAUAUACUGCAUACGGCAUGGUAUUGAUAGCCGCUCCACCACCAACUAAAAUCUUGGUGAUCGGCUGACCGUCAACUAUCCCCUUGACAAACAAAGCCUUAAGAUGUUGCCUUUCAUCGUCAGUAGGCUUUUCAAAGAUGGUUGUCAUUGGAUCCAGAGCCAACUGAGCUAUCUGGUCGGAGAACUCCAACUCAUCAUCACUGGAUGGCGCAAGGAACUCCAUCGGUAACAUAAAGACCAUGUUGACAUCUGCCGAUGGACCUUUCCCAUUAGGAUCUGUCUGUUGCUGAUCCCCAGACUGUCCAGAGUUCUUGCCCUUGCUUAGCUCUUCUCGCCUUUCGUGCUAUAGUCUUCUCUUUUGUGUCCUAGUCAACCCCUCUGGACACCAUGGAGGGAGUUGUUGCUGCCUUACCGAUGGGUGAUGAUUUUCCCUUGACUCCAUCCGAUAAGUAUUGGCAUCAUUGCAAAAUAUGAACUCAUUGGGAACCUGAGCAUUAGCCAUCUCUUCAAGUUCUUCCUGGUUCCUGGGGAGAUACCCAACAUGAUCGCCGAGCCUGUCGUGCACACUGAGCCUGCCCCCCAGCCGAUCGUGGACAGACAUUCUCCCUCUAAUGGGCCCAUUAAAUCACCGAUCAUCAUCGUGAUAGCGUCGACCAGAUCUGUCAUACCGAUCAUAACCAUUGCACUCAGGACAAUCUCUAACAGUAGGAAGUUUGAUAUUUUCCACCCAACAGUGGAUGAAGAACGAGCAAUUCCAGUGAUCCCUAUGCCGAUUCCACUCCUGUCGGCGUCUUUCCUCUUCCCGACGAUAAUCCUCUUGCUGGCGCCGAUACCGAUCCACACGUUGCUGCCAAGUCUCCUGAGGCCUCCUGUGAGUUAUCACAAUACCAGAUCGAGGAGGCCUUCCUGAAUUAGCUCCCUCCUGGAUCAGACCUUUUCCUUUCGCAUCGGCAGUAGUGAUCUGAUGCUGAGGAUCCACCGAUGCAAUUCUUUCAGCUGCUUCCGAUGUUAAGACUUUGGCCUUUCCCUUAGCAUCCAGCAUGUUUGUUGGAAAAGGAUGUUGAUCAAUAUUCAUCGACUUCUGAGCUUUGGAGCUGUCAAAUUUGAUACUCCCAGAUUCUAUAGCCUAUUGCAGCUGCUGUCUAAAAACAUUGCACUCAUUGGUGCUGUGAGAAGUUGCAUUGUGCCAUUUACAAUAUUUCAUCUUCUUCAACUCCUCAGCCGAUGGGAUUACAUGAUUUGGUGAUAAUUUGAUCUGACCUUCCUGAAGUAGAAAGUCAAAUAUCCUAUCAGCCUUAGAGAUGUCAAAUGCGAACUUUUCUGGUUCCUUGUGCCCGAAAGGACAAGACAUCGGCUUCUUAUUUUUCACCCAUUCUGCCAAGCCGAUGACUGGUUCUUCAUCAGAAUCCGAGCUUGUUGCUUCAUCAACGAACGAUACCUUUUUGUUCCAUGCUCUCUUGUGCUCAAAAGGCUUGAUAUCUUGAUCAGAAAUUCUCUGCACCAAAUGACUUAAGCUUUCAAACUCUUGAGAUGCAUACUUAUCCCUGAUAUGUGGCAGCAAACCCUGGAAAGCCAAAUCGACUAACUGCCGAUCAUCCAGAACCAGGCUAUAGCAUUUGUUUUUGACUUCUCGUAUCCUCUGCACAAAACUUUCAACCGAUUCGUCAUUGCGUUGCUUCAAUUUAACCAAAUCGGUGAUCUUCUUCUCGUGGACCCCAGAAAAGAAGUAUUUGUGGAAUUGUUUUUCCAAAUCGGCCCAAGUAAUCACUGAGUUGGGAGGUAAUGAUAUAAACCAAGUGAAAGCCGAUCCAGACAAUGAGGACGAGAAUAAGCGAACCCUUAGUUCGUCCCUAUUAGCAGCUUCCCCGCAUUGGAUGAUAAACCUGUUGACGUGCUCCAUGGUUGACGUGUCAUCCUGUCUAGAAAACUUGGUAAAAUCUGGCACUUUGUACCAAUUUGGAAGCGGGAUUAAAUCAUAUGCAGGAGGAUAUGGUGUCCGAUAAGAGUAAGUGUUGACUUUGCGCUUUAUCCCAAAUUGGUCUCUCAUUACUUCAGCAAUCUUAUCGGCCCAAUAAGCAUCGGCAUCUUGCCGAUGAGGCGGUUGCGGAUCUGGCAUCUGCUGUUAAGUUUCCACAUGUCUGUGUGGUGUACGAUCUGCAUGGAACAUCGGGUUAAUAAUUUGGCCACCCAUCUGCUGACCGCCAAACUAUUGCCCGCUGAUCUGCUGUCCGCCGAUCUGCUGCCCGCCGAUCUGUUGUCCGAGAUUCAUCGGCUGAUUGGGGAACCCUUGGUUCUAGAAUCCGGGAUAGAUCUGGCCUGUUGAAACCCUAUAGCCUGAUGAUUCUGUUGGGGCAUUUGUGGAAAAACUUGCUGUCCAAGCCAUCCACUAUUAGCAUUCAUCGGCAUAGGCCCUGCCGAUGACUGAUAAUUAGGCAUCAUCAUUGAAUUGACAUACCCUGGCUGAGACAUAAGCCUCUGUUGCAUAAGCAUUGAGUCUGCCGAUGCGUUAGGCAUCUGGAACGUUGGAGCUUGAGAAUUCCCUGUGUACGGUCUUGCAGUGGUGGUUGUAGUAUACCGGGGACUCUGAUUCAUCGGCAUAUUGGGGGGUGCCGAUGCCAUAGGAGCCUUGCCUCUCAUAUCAGUUGCCUGAGAUGUGCCAGGUGUCUUCAAGUAUUCCGGGGGCAUACCAAAACCCCACCAGUUAGGAGGAGGGACUGGUCCUGACAUCGCCGAUGCCAAUAGAUCUGUAGUGAACUUAAUCUGCUCAUCUGAAGUCGGUGGAUUAGUUGACAUCGGCGUAGAUUGUGCAUUAGUGACUCCCAACGUGCUUGGAGGAACGGUAGUCUGUGUACCCGCAGCGGCUGUAGCAGUCGAUGGAGCUAUGACCACCGGCGAUCCUGGCUGAUGAUGAGAGGGCCCACAUAAUCUGGUGGCAAUUGUCCUUCCUUGAAAGUUCUAGCCACGACAUUGAAAACCUUAUUGGACAGCACACCAGCUUGGUUGAUCAAGGCACGGUUGAUAGCACUAUCGACCAUCUCUUGAAGUUUACCAGGAUUGGCUUCAAAAGUAACCUGCCGAGGCAUCAGCAGUGCAUCCUUCUGGAUCACUUGGCCGAUCCUGUUUAUGCUGAAGGACCUCAGGCAUUGCUGCUUGUAAUCCUCCAUGGCUUUAGCAAUAGCUUGCUUCUGCUCAUCCUUGAGGUUGGCCUCCGUCACGGGGAUGACGUUUUCUUGAUCAAACUCAGUAGUCGACAUGUUGAUCUUGAUCUUGAAUCUGGUCCCACCAGGCGUGCCAAAAGAUGUGUUGAUGCAAAAGCUGAUCUGCAAACACAAAGGGCUAAUACCCGAUUUAAACGUUAAGGCGUGCCAGCCGAUUUGACCUUACUAUCGGCAAAGGUGAUAACUCGAAUACUAUGGUCCCGACAACAGCGAUGCGCCCGGAUGCCACGGCCAAGAGGUAUUCAUGCGGAACUUGAGAAUACGCCGAGCUUAAGUCGACGAACUCCUAAGAACUCGUAAUGCAAAAGGAAAAUAUGACGAAGUCGUCGAAAAAGUAGAUGCUGGAAUAUGAGUAGAAACUUAUGUUUGAUUGAUUGAUAGAUCAUUACAAAGCUCAGGGGUCUACAUUUAUACCCUGCCCAAAGAACUACAACCAGACACGACUAAAAUUUGAAUUCCAAAAUUAAACAGAAUCCGUGUACAAAACGAUUUAACCAACUAAGGAAAACAUAAAACUAUCCUCUCGUGACAAACUAGGACACCCCCAAAAACCGAUCCACAGGCCAAUCGGCAACCUCCAUGUCCUUCUUCCGCGUCAUCGGUAGACCCCUUUAUCGUAGUCAUCGGCACAAACACAUCGUCACCUAUGGACUUAGUCACAUUCGGUCAUCCCUUCAUCGGCAACCAUCUUCAUCGGCAACAUCCUCAUCGGCAACAUCUUCCGCAGACCACGUAUUGCAACCCUAUCUUGCCAACCUACUGUUGACGGCCCUUAAGUACCAAAUAUGAUAAGCAAAUAAACAAAGAAAAGGAUCCAAAUACAACCAACAUCUAAACUUAGGGUUUUAUCUGACAGAAUUCCACGAGUUUUGGUGGUUGUCUAUUUCUGUAGGGGGUUAUCAGGAAAUAAGAAAGAAAGGCCCACACGUUGGGUUUACAUAGAGAUAUUAACGUGCCGCGCAAUUUUCUACCAUCUAGAAGACUCCAGAAGCCACGGGAACGAACGGGAGGCCAAUCGGGCCCGGGGGCAGGGUGCCCGCCCAAGUCCCUUUGGUGCCCGCCCAGCUACAGUAACCAAUCGGCUUCAACUUCGCGGAUCAUGCUCCACCGACCUAAUACUUCAAGAAAAACCACACGAUCAAUGUCGGUUUGAUCUGACGGCCCAGAUUCAUCUAAAAAGACUAUAUAACCAGACCCCCUGGCCCCUGGAGGAGGCACCCCUCGAUCAUUAUUCAUUAUUCAUAGACAGAGCGAAAGUUAGGGUUUAGAGAUGAGAGCUCUCCUCUCUUCUCUAAACUAGAGUAGAUCUAGAUAGUAGCAAGAUGGAGAGCGAAGGAGGACUAGAGGAGAGGCCGGCCUGUCGGUUCUUCCUCCGGUUGUACUUCGUCAUGAUCAAGCUCUAAUCAAGCUUGCUCAUGGGAUGACUCUGGUAAUCUACUUCUAAUUCAUUAUGCAAUUACUAAUUAUGUAUGUUCUGGUUCACAACUCUUUUGAGUACUUUAAUCUAUAGGACGCUAUAGGUGAGAGUUGUAGUAUAGAUGUAAGUGUGGUGCUUAGACCUAGAUUACUUGUGGAUAUCCCCUGUCUAGCUGGAUCGUGUGGUAGGCCGCGUAGGUGACAGUUACGUUGGUCCUCCGUAGUCCACCUCUCGUUAGCAGGAUGGGUAGGGUUUAUCGGCCUAAGGAUAAGCAUCAUUUGUGGUGUACUCUUAUCACGUGGUUCGUCCCAGACAUAGACAUACCCCUUUGAAGUAGAGAAACCAUAGUUAUCCUAUCUAUUCUGCUACCAUCGCCCAUAUACUAGAAUUGCUCUAUUCUCUAUUCCCAUAUUAUCACUCACUGUUAUCUUACCUUUAAUAUUGUUCUUAUUCGAUUCUACCAUCUUUCCUAUUUACACUUAUCUAUUUAUCUUAGUUAAGUUAGAGCGUAGUUGGUUCUCCCGUUUCCCUGUGGAUACGAUAAAACCUUUAACCGGGUAAAAGCUUCAACGGUAUCCGCGCGCUUGCGGAUUAUCUAUGUGCGUAUAAAUACCAUAGUACACUCUAGUGUCAUGCUGGGGAUGACAACCUAGUAUUCAAGUGGUGUUAGCAAGUGUCAACAAGCAUUUUUGGCACCGUUGCCGGGGAAACGGUUGCUGAGUUGACUACGAACUAGCUUAAUCAUUUUCUAAAAAAAUAAAAUUAUAUAUAUAUAUAAUUUCCUUUUAUCCUUUGCCUCAUCUCUGCUAAUCUUUCUUCUUAUCUAAUCCUUGAUCUCUGGUCUAUCAUGAAUUCAAACAUGUCUAUCUAUGAAUUUCAUAGACCUACGGGCACACAUCUCGAACCACCAAAAUCUUCAAAGCCUACCAUAGCAUCUAGUUUUGAGAUAGACCCCGAAUACAUAGAAUUUGUUCAAAAACAACCUUUCUCAGGAGAAGGUGAGGAAAACCCAUACACACACCUAAGAGAGUUUUAUCGAGUCUGUGACCUCCUUCGCAUAGAAGGAAUGUCCGAUGAGACCCUCAAAUGGAAGCUCUUUCCGUUCUCUUUAACGGGAAAAGCUAGACAUUGGUACAAACUCAAAGUAGGGAGUGUUCAUGGAGAUUGGAAGGAGUUACAUAAUAGUUUUCUUUUAAAAUAUUUUCCAAUCUCUAAAGUGGCGGAACUUCGGUGUGAGAUUAUUUCUUUUCAACAACUGGAAGAAGAAUGUCUUGGCAAAUCAUGGGACCGCUUUAUUAACCUUACUCUCACUGGCCCAAAGCUUUCUAUUCCAGAAGAAGUUCUUCUAAUUCACUUUUUUGAGGGCCUUAGUGGGGAAAAUAAGCAAACCUUGAAUACAUCCUCUAGAGGAUCCUUCUAUCACCUACCUGCUAGUGAAGCUUGGAAUUUGAUUGAUUUAUUAAGUGGAAAGUCUCCUAGCUUAUAUAUCCCUAAGAAAGAGACAGAACCAGUUCCUAGACAAGAAGAAGAAGUUUCGAUAGCCAGAUCACAACCACUUCAAUUCCAAACUUUAGCUAUCGAUCCUAAACCAUCAAUACCCCAAAAUUCUCCAAGGGAGGAAGGAAUUCCAACCUUAAAUCUUUCAGAUGCUGAUGGUUUAGACUUCUGGUUCCAUAAGAGACCAUCAAGCAGGGAUAAUUCAAAUCCUCGCAAUAAUGGUUCUCUUAGAGAAUGUCCUGGUUCCUAUUAUGAAGAAGUCGAGGAUGACAUAUCAAGUGAAGGAGAGCUAAGCCAUAUUGAAAAUUCUAACACCUCCCCUUUCCUGAUCACAAGUUCUAAAUGGCUAGAAUGUGUAGAAUGGAUGGAUAAGGAAGAAGCCUUAAUGAAUUCUGACUUUGGUUCAAUUUCAAAUGGUGAGUUCUUGACUCCCUUUGAAGAUGGGAUUCAUCCAACUAUAGAAGAGGACAUAAGUGAGACCAAUCCAAGAGGAACUCUGAACAUUCCGAUUGUAGACGAAGAUAACAUUAAUGAGCAUGGAAUUUAUUUCAUAGCUAUUUUGUUUACUCCAUGCUCAUAUGCAACAUCUUCCCAAUCUAUUGGUCUCUCCAACAUCACCACAUUUGAGAUCUCCAACCCCCUCUUCCUUUCUAUUUAUAAAAACUUUAAAAGGGUGGUUGUCGAUGCAUAUGUCUAUAAUAAAUAUUGCAGAUCUCGUUGAGUUGAUCUUGAUUUAGGUCAGCGUUGGAAGGGAAACCACUUCGCCGACAUAAAUUGAUGGUUUCCCAAGGACAAGCUUAGUGUCCUAAAAUAAGCACUGAUCAGAUCGUAACAUGAGUUUUUAAUUAUUUGCAACAUUACCUUGUGUAUUGAGGAUAUAAGGAUAAUUGUAAAAAUAUUCCUUCGGGUAUUCUUGUCACUAACCUUUACAGGAUUGGAGCAAGAAGAUCGGAUGAAUGACAAGCGCAAGGUAUGUCCAAUCAAUCAUCAUACAACAUUGAAUUAAAUUCAUCCAAACUUGAAUUCUGCAAAAUUCAAGCUUGGAGGAGUACUUUACAUAAAAACAUCCUUUGCCAUGUUGCUAUAUUGGUUGUCCCCACCUUUAAGACAUGCUCAAUUUGUUAAAUACUAAUCACACUACUUCAUCUCCACUUGAGUAGAUCUCUAUAAAUGCUGUCAUGUUACCUUUGUCCAUUUACUAGUAAGUGUUAGUUUGGAAGUACUGCACAUACUUCUAUUGGCCUUUAAAUUAAGCAUGGUGCUUAGGUUAAACAGCCUUCCUUAAUCUGAUUAGACAUGGAGUCUAGUUCAGUUAUUGAACUAAAAACUGCUUGUGUAGACAUUGGUAUAUUUUUGUCGGACUAACCCCUGCAGAAAAACUUUCAAUAUCGAUUUGGGAAGUCCUGAGAUAAACUCACAUCAGAGACGAAGAGAGUGACACAUGAAGUUUAACAAUUUGCACAAGAAGGACAUAGCUCAUUCAUCAUAGAGAGAUGAUCCAUGGAGGGUGCCACAAACACGAUGCACAACCGCUAAGGAAGGAAAGCUUCCACAAGGUGAUACUGUACCAUCACUCUUCAAGCAAGGUAACAUCUUAAGGUACUUGACUAUCACUUUUAUAAGCUUCUCCUUGGUUCUAGCGUUCAUAUAAAUAAAAGAGACAAACAUGUAUGAUUUACAACUCUAGAUUAACCAACCCAACUGAUUCAACAUGUUUAGUCCUUUAAUCCUUGUUCUUAGUACUACCUCCAUAACCCCACACUCCUAAUCAUAUGAGGUAAAAUGUUACACAUUCAAUCAUUCAGAGAUAUAAAGAAAAAGACAUAUACAUAGAUAGAUUAUCUUUCCAUAAGGUUCAGCGAUCUGAUCUGACAAAUAUUAUAAGUGCUACACUCAUGAACUUUUCAUCCAUCAACUUUGUCUUGCUCACUAUGCUUAGGGUUAGAGAAGAACAAAUACACUUUAGGUUCUGUUGGUGUUUUCCACCAACAGGACCCAUGCACUUGAUCUCUGCCUUGUUUCUAUGAGCAGGUACACUUCGAGCAAAACACGGACGAGUUUUAUAACUCUCAGACUCUACCAAGUAAAGGACCUAGAUCUAUGGGUGACACCGUAUUAAGAGGUGCAGACGUCAAGGUCCACACCUGAAUCAAAUGACGCACCUGAAGAAUGAACACGGUGAGAAGUCUUGUUAAGAAGACUUAAAACAUUGAACCCUCGUUGAAAGGUAAGAUCGGUAGUUAUCCAUAUUUAUCCUUUCUGCAUUCCCUUUUUCCUUUAAUGAUUUACUUUCCUUAAAUAGAUUAUUAGUUAAUCAUGCUAUCUUGAAAAGAAAAUAAAAUUUUUUAAAAAAUACUAAGCCCCAUGUGAGUACACGAGUGGCAUAAAACCCAUAAGUACCUUCACUGUGGUGGCAUAAAAAUAAAAUAAAUAUUUCUUUUCUGCUUUAUAAAAUAAAAAUAUAAAAACAGGGAGUAAUAUUUAUUGAGGAAGCUCAACAUGAUGAAGGCUAGAUAUUUAUGCUAACACUUAAUUAGUUCCACAAGCUUUGCUGUCUAUUUGAGUUCCACAGAAUUUAAGAAUCAAAAAGACUAGCAGACGGAGGACAUUCUAAUCGCUGUCCGAAUGCUGCUGACUUUCAAAUACACCUCUGCCACCUGCUAGCUACAUCAAGAGAAAUUACGUCAAAAUUCAGCUUGGGGAAGAGCACCCCCAUUUAUCUCGCUAAGUAUUUCUACCUAUCUUUAUACUUAUAUUAUAUUAGAAUAUUAAAAUACAUAAACUAUGAAAAACCAAAUAAAGAUUUUGUGCUUAUAUAUAUAUCUUUUGCUUAAUGUGUUUAAUAAAUAAAUAAAGUGGCUAUGCUAAUCUGAAUCUUAAUAAUAAAACUGUAGCAUGGAUAUGAUGAAUAGUUGCUCUGCCUAAUUUGCAAAUUUGAAGUUCUCUCUCAAGUUUAGACAUAACUGUUAUAAUUUAAAGUUUGCUCUAGAUCUAAACUUGUGGGUUGAAAACUUGAUCUGAAAUCUAAGUUGUUAACGGAUAUGAUGUGGGAAGGUUGAGCUGCUGUUUAUCUGUUCCUAGAGAUGCUAGAAUUCUGGAGAAUUUUAUCUUUGAAAAAUCUUUAACAUAUUGCAUGAUGAGUUCCUGUAUGAUGAGAGUUUAAAUUCCUACCACAGCCAUAUAUACAUGCUUGCUAGACUUUGGGCCACACAUUUAUUAUUUACUGCUUAUGAGCAUUGAGUGUGGUCAAGCUGUGUAGACCCUUAGGAGCUUGUCAUGUGGUUAAAUCAAGAUUCACUUGCACAUUCACUCAUAUAUGCUACUUCUACUCCGGAAGUACCAUCCACAUAUAUCCAUCCAUGUCCAUCUCCAGAACCACCCAAAAAUAUUCUACUCCUAAUCCGGGAGAGAAUAGCCAAAAAUAUUUCUGUUUUCCCUUGUGAAACAAAUGCUCAAGUUAUCUUGCUACUACCACUUGCUAUAUUAUCUCAAGAGAUGAGUGCUCUGAAAAAAAAGAAAAAAGAAAAAAAGAAAAAAAAUAAUAAAUGAGGAAAUAAAAAGGGGCAAGUGCUCGGAACCUCAAAAGAAAGAAAAAGUGAGACGAGAGGUAAAAAUGGACAAGUGUCCGACAGUAGAAUUAGGGGUACAAGAUACCCACCUGAGAGGAAAGAAAAAGAAGAGCAUCUCAUUCUCCUCAUAAAGUUUCAAAAAGUAAGGAACGUAUGUAUCCCCUCAAAAGAGCAAAAGUAGAAUUAGACUUCCACCAUUAUUAUCACCAUCAUCACCAUACACCAUUCAUUCGCCACACAUGCACAUCUUGAUUUGACUUAUUGACUUGUUUCUCUGGAUCCAUGGAUUGACUAUGCAAUAAAUGUCUUGUAAGUAUGUAUUAGCUGUCUCCCACCUAUGAGCUCCAGAUAUUAAAGCCUUAUUAGAGUAGCGUGAGAGAGAAGGCAAUGUCACUAUGCCUUAUACCACAAAUACCACAUAUCUUGAGAGAAGGCAUAUACCAUCACUGCCUUGGUAAGGAUCCAAAAAUACCACAAAAGAGAGAUUUAGAGAGUCAUACAAGGAAUCUCUGAGUUUUAUUUGAAAAUCUGCAAAAACUCAAGAGCUAUAGCUGAUCAAGAAUAAGAGACAUGGCACUUGGCUAGACUGUUCUAUCUUUUAACUACUCAAGACAGAAGUGGCGGUUACAAGUCCCAUGGUGAAAGGUAAAGUAAGUAAGUUUUAGUUCUUGACAGUUUACUCUAACUCAGAGAUGAGAUCUUAUUUAAAAACAUGUGUACCGUCAAAUUUUUAAGAUAUUGCAACAACUUCUGAUCCAUGCUGAGUCUAUCCUUGCUCAGGGACGAGCAAGAGGUAAGCUUGGGGGAGUUGUUGACGGUCCUUAAGUACCAAAUAUAAUAAGCAAAUAAACAAAGAAAAGGAUCCAAAUACAACCAACAUCUAAAUUUAGGGUUUUAUCUAACAGAAUUCCAUGAGUUUUGGUGUUUGUCUAUUUCUGCAGGGGGUUAUCAGGAAAUAAGAAAGAAAGGCCCACACGUCGGGUUUACAUAGAGAUAUUAACGUGCCGUGCAAUUUUCUACCAUCUAGAAGACUCCAGAAGCCACGGGAACGAACGGGAGGCCGAUCGGGCCCGGGGGCAGGGCGCCCGCCCAAGUCCCUUGGGUGCCCGCCCAGCUACAGUAACCAAUCAGCUUCAACUUCGCGGAUCAUGCUCCACCGACCUAAUACUUCAAGGAAAACCACACGAUCAAUGUCGGUUUGAUCCGAUGGCCCAGAUUCAUCUAAAAAGACUAUAUAACCAGACCCCCUGGCCCCUGGAGGAGGCACUCCUCGAUCAUUAUUCAUUAUUCAUAGACAGAGCAAAAGCUAGGGUUUAGAGAUGAGAGCUCUCCUCUCUUCUCUAAACUAGAGUAGAUCUAGAUAGUAGCA
rnacentral:lncRNA from 1 species